AUUGAACGCUGGCGGCAUGCCUUACACAUGCAAGUCGAACGGUAACAGGUUAAGCUGCCGAGUGGCGAGCGGGCGAGUAAUGUAUCGGAACGUGCCCAGUCGUGGGGGAUAACUGCUCGAAAGGGCAGCUAAUACCGCAUACGACCUGAGGGUGAAAGCGGGGGAUCGCAAGACCUCGCGCGAUUGGAGCGGCCGAUAUCAGAUUAGGUAGUUGGUGAGGUAAAGGCUCACCAAGCCGACGAUCUGUAGCUGGUCUGAGAGGACGACCAGCCACACUGGGACUGAGACACGGCCCAGACUCCUACGGGAGGCAGCAGUGGGGAAUUUUGGACAAUGGGCGCAAGCCUGAUCCAGCCAUGCCGCGUGCGGGAAGAAGGCCUUCGGGUUGUAAACCGCUUUUGUCAGGGAAGAAAAGGUUCUGGCUAAUACCUGGGACUCAUGACGGUACCUGAAGAAUAAGCACCGGCUAACUACGUG
rnacentral:rRNA from 1 species